rnacentral:misc_RNA from 1 species
AAAGACGAGAUAUCCCUGAGGAAAAAAGUGACUUUAGACCAGCAAGACGUCUCUAGGCACGCACAGCGUCUGGCACUAGUGCGCAUGCGUCACUUGAAUCUCCACGCAUGCGCAGACUACACCCGGAGGUGUACUUUCGUUACUGGCACGAACUUUUACUAAAUACACGUCCAUGGUUUCUGAUGACUGUCACAGGCUAAAAAGACAUCAUAUUUGAAAGAGGAAUAUCUGCAUUUUUGUUAAAGGCAGCACCUUACACUGUUUUGGCAUCAUCAGUUGCAAAGAUAUUGCUUCGGAUUUGUCUUAAUAUUUAUAUUUCUACUGACACCACAGUAAUUAUGGGUUUCAGGUCACCACAACUUCUGUUGUAUUGUCUGCUUGGAAUGUGCAUGGCAUUUUUCAUUUUGACAAUAUAUUUAUCCUACAGAUGUGUAGAAAUUUCAAAGCUGAGGAAUCCAUAUAUUCUUGACAAUAUGGCUACUGAAGUAAAUGGUAUUUAUAACCAUCUUUCCAAAGGAGACAGGCAUAAUGAGUUGAUGAGACAUUUGCCACCUGUCACAGUGCAUUAUGUUUGGUGUCAUAAUGGUCACUUUGAGUAUAAGCAUUAUCUCAGUUUGCUCAGCAUUGCUAAAAUACUUCAACCAGAUCAAAUUAUAUUCCACUUCCUUGAAAUGCCUUUAAGUGAUAGAAAAGGGUACUUAACAUGGUUUGAAGAUAUUCAAAGAGAAGUUCCAAUGCUGAGUUUAAAACAGCUGAAAGAUCAUAAGCAUUGUGACAAAUUUUUUAAAGGAGUUCACAAAAAUGAAGAUUUUUCAUACACUGGUGGAAUUUUUAUUAUGGGUGAUAUUAUAUUGGCAAAUUUAUCAAGAGAAGUUUUUUAUCAUCUAAAUAAUAAUUUGGACAUGAAUGUCUACAAUGUCUGUAAUACAAAUUCUGUUGUAUCAUGUGCACAACAAAACAGAAUAUCCACCCAGUUAUUUCUUGUGCCUGAAGCUGAACAAUACAAUCUUUCAGCAGUGGAUAAAAGGAUAUUACUUCAUUGUCCAUCACUGAUGCAUGUAACAAAACCCAGUGAACAUUUUUGUAUUCAUACAAGUCAGCAUUUAGUCCCGUACGAAAUUUGGCAUCAAAACACAAGUUUUCACAACUUUGCUCGUCAGAUUGUAUACAAUACACAGACUGUAUUGGUUCCUUUUUCAGAAACAAACAUUCCAAUGAAAAAAAUUGUUCACAUUUUGAAUUUAUAUGGUACUUCAGUAGACCAUUUAUGUUUAUUAAGCAUAAAAAGUGCCUUUAUUAGAGGAGCAGUGGAUCAUGUAUUUCUGCAUACUCAUAAAUUUGUAAAGGAUCCUCUAUGGCAUGAACUUCGUCAAAACUAUAGUGUCAGUUAUGUACAUGCUCCUGAGCUUGAUUCAUCACAGCAUAGUAAAGUGUUGUAUGGUAUGCACACUCUGGCACAGUAUGGUGGAAUGAUCAUGACGUGUAAUAUCAUAUUCCAGAAACAUAGUGGUUUCUUGUUUGAUUAUCCAGCUGUUGCUACUGUUCAAAAGAGUAAGAAUAGACUAGCUCAUCUUUUGGAUUUUGGCAUUUUCUUUGCAAAGACAGAUUCAUUGUUUCUUAAAAUGCUUAUUCCUGUUCUUAAACAGCUUGAUGAUACAUCUUCACCACUUGAUGCUGGAGCUAUUGGCUAUCAUGUUUACGAGCAGUAUCCUUCAGCUUUGUACUUAGAAACCAAUCUCUUUGAACAUCAAAUUUGCAAUAAAGAUGUUUGUCACAGUACUUUAGAAGAGACAAAUACAGGGAAUAGCUUUUUUACAAAAUUGUCGUGGGCAUCUGAUACUAAAGACAUCAGUUUACACCAACUUGUAUCACUGAAAACACCAUCAAAAUCAGUUCAUCAAAUACUUGGAAAUGUAAAGUUGUAGGAACAUAAACAUAAUAUCACUCUUACUAGCUUUUAAUUUGACCAGUGGGUAAAUGCUGAUAAGGUCCAUUGAUUUAAUGAUUACAAGAAUUUGUUAUAUGUGAAGUCAAUACAUUUUCUAAACUUAUACAAAUCAAUCAUAAAGGUGAAACUUUGUGGGAAGUCACUCAAUAGAGACCCUGUGGAGAGAGAGAUGGCAAACUAAAGAAUUCUAUAGCCAUAGGAGCAGUGAAUGUUGGUGGCCCAGCAUGGCGUGUGGAAGGUGGAACCUGACCCUUUACCUUCAUUGAUAAAUCAAGUACACAUUUCUGUAAUGCUGCUGCUUGGUGUCAAGUAAAAUCAUUUACAUGACAGCUUUGAGUGUGGCAGCUAUGGAUUCAUCCUAUACUUGUUUGAAAGAGGCUAAGCUGCAUCUUAAUAUUAAACAUAACAGCCAUGCCAUUGUACUUUUCUGGAGCCUGGGUUGUUGGGGUGUGCUAAUGGUAAUCAAGAAAUCUUUCUGGCCUUCUUUGGCCCCAUGACCUGGCAUGCCACCUUGUCUUACAGUUUGUACUGAAUGUGAGAAUGGACAUUAGUCGGCUGUACUUUCUGAAGAGCAACUAACUCAUAAAAAACUGUCGUAGCUACUUGCUAAAAUCAAGGACCCCCCCCCCCCAACUAACCAGAAAGGUAAAACCGCUAACUAGGAAAGAAGCAAGACAGAGAAUAACUAGGAGUUCCUGUAGGAAAAAUGAUCUGACUCAUGAAGACGACCUUAACCUGAGUGAAACAAGUAGCGACAGUUCACUAUGCACAGUGAAAGAACAGAAAUGAAAAAAAAAAAAACCUGACGUCCGAGACUAGAUGAUGAAAUACAACAGUGAAAACGAUAGCGUUGCUAGCCACAUGACAAUGACCAGAUUGAGUGAGGACUCAGACUAUGGAUUUCAAACAAUCAUCAGCAGGAAUAGACCCCAGUUAGUCUUCCCAGUAAAAACAGUCCCAAAAGAAAAAGAGAAUAAAAGCAUUGCAACUGUAGGCCCCUCACGACUGUGCAGAGAAACCAACAAAUAGGAAAUUUAGAGGAAGUAAGACCCUCUAUCAAAUCCAACAAACUUAUCAUAGGAUACAAGGACCCAGCGCAACAAAGAAAUGCCACAUAAAGAUAAAUUUCUAGCCCUUCUACAUACCUGGUCAAGAACAAAGCAGAAAAAAAAACAAAACAGAAAAAGGGGCUAGGUGUCAUAAAUGUGCCCUCAGAAGAAAGCCUGGAAGAUAUAAAUGAGAUGCUGGUGCAAGCUGCAGGAUCAAAAUCAGGGCUGUAAAAAGAUUCAAGAUACGAACGAAUGGAAAAUUAAUCCCUACCAGAGCGAUACUUAUGCUAUACAAAUUUAUAGACAGUGAGACCCCCACAACUAUCAAAAUAGGGUUCCAAAAUCACAGUGAGUUGGCAGCACUUUACCUUCCAAAAUCAACAACAAUGAGGGAGGCUUUUGGAUUUUUGAAGUGAGAGUGUAGAGGAGAGGGUAGGCCAGCUGCCAAGUGAAGCUCUGAAUAAAAUCUACAGUUAUGUGGCAAA